AAUGUGUGAAGGUUAUCCGCA
rnacentral:siRNA from 1 species